rnacentral:tRNA from 1 species
GGCCUUGAGGUGUUUUACAUAUUAGACUGCAAAUCUAAAGUAGCGGGUGUAAAGCCCGUCGAGGCCU